UACAGAGGGGGCAAGCGUUGUUCGGAAUUACUGAGCGUAAAGGGCGCGUAGGCGGCCUUCUAAGUCGAACGUGAAAUCCCCGGGCUCAACCCGGGAACUGCGUCCGAUACUGGAAGGCUUGAAUCCGGGAGAGGGAUGUGGAAUUCCAGGUGUAGCGGUGAAAUGCGUAGAUAUCUGGAGGAACACCGGUGGCGAAGGCGACAUCCUGGACCGGUAUUGACGCUGAGGCGCGAAAGCCAGGGGAGCAAACGGG
rnacentral:rRNA from 1 species